AUACGGAGGGUGCAAGCGUUACUCGGAAUCACUGGGCGUAAAGAGUACGUAGGCGGUUGCUUAAGUCAGAUGUGAAAGCCCCGGGCUUAACCUGGGAGGGUCAUUCAAAACUGGCAGACUAGAGUGUGGUAGAGGGUAGUGGAAUUCCUAGUGUAGCGGUGAAAUGCGUAGAGAUUAGGAGGAACACCAGUGGCGAAGGCGACUGCCUGGACCAACACUGACGCUGAGGUGCGAAAGCGUGGGUAGCAAACAGGAUUAGAAACCCCAGUAGUCC
rnacentral:rRNA from 1 species